GAUGAACGCUAGCUACAGGCUUAACACAUGCAAGUCGAGGGGCAUCAGGAAGAAAGCUUGCUUUCUUUGCUGGCGACCGGCGCACGGGUGAGUAACACGUAUCCAACCUGCCCUUUACUCGGGGAUAGCCUUUCGAAAGAAAGAUUAAUACCCGAUAGUAUAAUGAUUCCGCAUGGUUUCAUUAUUAAAGGAUUCCGGUAAAGGAUGGGGAUGCGUUCCAUUAGGUUGUUGGUGAGGUAACGGCUCACCAAGCCUUCGAUGGAUAGGGGUUCUGAGAGGAAGGUCCCCCACAUUGGAACUGAGACACGGUCCAAACUCCUACGGGAGGCAGCAGUGAGGAAUAUUGGUCAAUGGGCGCUAGCCUGAACCAGCCAAGUAGCGUGAAGGAUGAAGGCUCUAUGGGUCGUAAACUUCUUUUAUAUAAGAAUAAAGUGCAGUAUGUAUACUGUUUUGUAUGUAUUAUAUGAAUAAGGAUCGGCUAACUCCGUGCCAGCAGCCGCGGUAAUACGGAGGAUCCGAGCGUUAUCCGGAUUUAUUGGGUUUAAAGGGAGCGUAGGUGGACUGGUAAGUCAGUUGUGAAAGUUUGCGGCUCAACCGUAAAAUUGCAGUUGAUACUGUCAGUCUUGAGUACAGUAGAGGUGGGCGGAAUUCGUGGUGUAGCGGCGAAAUGCUUAGAUAUCACGAAGAACUCCGAUUGAGAAGGCAGCUCACUGGACUGCAACUGACACUGAUGCUCGAAAGGGUGGGUAUCAAACAGG
rnacentral:rRNA from 1 species